UACGAAGGGGGCUAGCGUUGCUCGGAAUCACUGGGCGUAAAGCGCACGUAGGCGGCUUUCUAAGUCAGGGGUGAAAUCCUGGAGCUCAACUCCAGAACUGCCUUUGAUACUGGAGAGCUUGAGUCCGGGAGAGGUGAGUGGAACUGCGAGUGUAGAGGUGAAAUUCGUAGAUAUUCGCAAGAACACCAGAGGCGAAGGCGGCUCACUGGCCCGAUACUGACGCUGAGGCACGAAAGCGUGGGGAGCGAACAGG
rnacentral:rRNA from 1 species